rnacentral:rRNA from 1 species
UACGUAGGGGGCAAGCGUUGUCCGGAUUUAUUGGGCGUAAAGAGCGUGUAGGCGGCUAUACAGGCCCGUUGUGAAAACUCGAGGCUCAACCUCGAGACGCCGAUGGAAACCGUAUGGCUAGAGUCCGGAAGAGGAGAGCGGAAUUCCUGGUGUAGCGGUGAAAUGCGCAGAUAUCAGGAAGAACACCCGUGGCGAAGGCGGCUCUCUGGGACGGUACUGACGCUGAGACGCGAAAGCGUGGGGAGCGAACAGG